GGGUUCCGAGCGCGUGCGUUUGAUAGACAAACGGCAAAAAACUUGAAAGAAAGUCGAAAGAAGAAAAAAUUUUGCAAUUUGUAUUAAUUUUCCAAAAAAAAAAGAUUUAAUAAUACUACGAAAAUUGUAUUUUUUUCUUUUGAUGUUAAUAACUAAUUAAAGCAAAGUGUUGUAACAAAAAAGAGUGAUAACAAUUUGCAAGAAAAUAUAAAACAACGGAACAAUUGCAUCGGAAACGCAAAAAAUUCACAAUUAAAACGUGUCUACUGCCAAGAAAAAAAAACCCAAAUCGAAUAGAUGAAAAACUGUACAAUUGUCAGAAAUUAUAAGCAACAAGAUUAAAGUUAAGAAUUUCUUAAAUUGUUGAAAUUUUUUUAACUAUCAAAAAACAAAUUACGGAUAUAAAAACGAAAAAGAAAGAGUGGAAAUUUUGCUAAACAAGUGUUAGGUUAGAAACGAAUAAUCAAAGAGGAAUUGAAAAAAUAAAAGUGUUUAGUAAUAAAAAAAGCCAAAAAAAAGUAUAACAACAACAACAGCUAAAACAAAAACAAUGACAAACAAUACAGAGGAAUUGCCAAUGCAACAACAAAACGAUAACAAUGAGCAAUUACCCGAACAACAAGCAGAAGCUGGCGGAGGAGGUGAAGAAGCACAACAGCAGCAAGCAAAUGUACAAGAAGAGCAACAGGAGGAGCAGGUAAAUAUGGAAGUGGAUGACCAACAGCAACAGCAAGAACAGCCAAACGAUGAUAAUAAUGAAAAUCAAGAUGCCGCCGCGGCAAAUGAAGAAGCCCAAGCCGAACAAGCAGAUGGUGAAAAUCAAAAUUCAGAUGCUGAAGAUGAUGACAAUGGAGCGGCAGCUGCUGAUCCAUUUUAUGGCUUCGAUGAAUCUGAACCCAAUUUGGAGGAAAAAGACAUGGCUCAAGUCUUACAAUUUUGGGAAUCAAAACAUACUACAUCGGGCUUUGACCCCGUACCAAUAUUAAAAAGAUUGGCUGAAAUUUUCGAAAAAGAAAAAGAAAUUUACAUGCGUAAAGAUCCAGAUCCAUUCGAUGAACGUCAUCCCUAUCGUACAGAUCCCAGCUGUCAAUUUGGUUUCCUACUCAAACAACUAUUUCGCAAAGAUCAUUUUAUGAAAAAGUUGGUUAAUGAUUAUUUGCGUGAUAACUAUUUCACAAGGCAAAAUAUCCAGAAAAGUUCUUAUGAAUUAAAUAUUUUAGCUUUACGUUUAAUUUUGGUCAUCAUGCCGGGUCUAGAAACAACAGCUGUUUUUCAGGUGGAAUUUGAUAAUCUCAUUAAUCGUAUUUAUGGCUGGGCUGAGGAUAGUAUUGAACCAUUACAAAGUUAUGCCACAGGUUUAUUGGCUGCAGCUAUGGAGGUAACCGAUAUUGCCAUAACAUUUCGUGAUAUGAAUACACGUUUAGUGCCGAAAAUGAUAAAACGUUUACAUAUGCUGCAGGCUAUACACAAAACAAUUUUACAGCCUCCCUCCACAACAGAAGUACCUUCUGCCAAUAACUCUAUUGAUAGUUCUUUAGGCUGUAGUUCAAAUAUGGAACGUAUACUGCCUUCUUGGAUGGCUGGCUCAGCACCUCAAUCACCUCAACGUUUAGAUGAUAGCACAGCCAGUGCACGUUGUCACAAUAGUAGUGCUUUGGAUACAUUUGUUAACACUUCCAACUUAUCCACACUUUUGGAAAAUAGCCGUGAUGCUUUUCCCGCCAACAAUGCUGGUCGUUAUUAUAAGAAAAUGUAUAUUUCUAUACAUCCACCUUCGGCAGAGACCAGUCAAAUGCUAAUAUUACGUUAUCUUACUACCAUGGGUGAAUAUCAAGAGUUUUUGGGUUUGGUAUUUGAACACAAUGCCAUGCAAUUGAUUUUCGGUUAUAUUGAAAAUUUGGAUAGACGUGAUACAUGUUUGGCCUUUGAAGCCCUUAAAUAUUUGGCCUCUCUAUUGUGUCAUAAGAAAUUUGCUCUGGAAUUUAUAUCACAUGGUGGUUUAGAGCGCAUUUUAAAAGUUCCUCGCCCUAGUAUUGCCGCUACUGGAGUUUCUAUUACCUUAUACUAUUUGGCUUAUUCAGAAGAUGCUAUGGAACGUAUAUGCACCAUGCCCAAGUAUAUAAUUACCGAAUUGGUUAAAUAUGCUUUAUGGAUAUUGGGUCAUUCCUAUGAUUCGGGUAAAUGUCAUGCCACCAUGUUCUUUGGUCUAAGUUUUCAAUUUAAAGUUAUGUUAGAUGAGUUUGAUGCUCAAGAUGGUUUAAGAAAACUAUACAAUGUGAUUUCCGUUUUGAAAAUUCUUAAUCCCUCCAAUAAUGAUGAUGACGAUAAUAACGAACUUAAUGAAGAUGUUGAAUGUGCUUCGCGGCAAAUGGUGCGUCAUGUUUGUGUGGCCCUAAAGCGUUAUAUGGAAUCACAUCUUUUCUAUAAAUACAACAACUUUAUGUGUCAACAGUAUCCGGUAUCAAGUGAAUUUAAUCGCAAUAUUACUAAAGCUGCUAAGUCAACAGUAGAACAAAUCAACGAACAGAUACGUACGCUUCAAGAAAAUACCUCAGUAAGAGCUCAUUGGGCUCCAGUAGAUCAGCUCUUAAAAUUAGGUGGCAUAACAUUACUGCUAAAGAUUAUAGCUUUUUCCUAUGAUUGGAAUAAUGGUGGUCGCUCGGAAACAGUGCGUACUGCUUUAGAUGUUCUCUCUAUAUGCUGUGUUAUACCACGUGUGUAUGUGGCCUAUUGUGAUCUAUUGGAAUUGCCCGAUCAUGUCACCACUUCGGGUAUAUAUUCCAUAUUGGGUGCUGCUGCAGGUGAUAUAGUGCCUGAUGCAGAUGUACAAAAGUCUGCCUUGGCGGUGCUAUGUAACUGUGUCUGUUCUCCCAUUGCUAGGAAAGAACCCAAUAGUCUUAUCAAGUGUUUUGGUUCCUCUAAGAAAAACAAACACAACAACAAAUACAGCGAGGAACUGGUGGAAAAAGUGUGGGAAUCUGUUUGUUCCAAUAAUGGCAUUAUUGUUUUACUUUCCCUUAUGCAAAUCAAAACACCUAUUACCGAUGCUGAUUGCAUACGCGGCAUGGCCUGUCGUGCUUUAGCCGGUCUAGCACGUUCAGAACGUGUCAAACAGAUUGUAGGCAAAUUGCCUCUAUUUGCCAGUGGUCAAAUACAAACUUUAAUGCGUGAUCCUAUACUACAGGAGAAAAGAGCUGAACAUGUUAUAUUCCAGAAAUAUGCUUUGGAACUACUAGAGCAGGUGUCUGGUAAAACUAAACCAUUCAGUCAUCAAUUGGAUCCCACCUUGGCCAAUAUACACAAAGCUAAUAUAAUAGCACAAACCAAAAUACAAUAUAACGAACAGCAGCUAUAUCAAUUGAUCUAUGAUCAUUUGGAAUCUAAAGGACUCUCACAAACUGCCCAAAUGUUACAAAAGGAAGCUGGUCUACAAUUGCCCUCAACAACCACCAAAAGUUUUCACCAAUCACCGUUUGAUUAUAAGGUAUUGCCCACUAGUUCUAUAGCACGUAAUCGUUUGCGUAAUCGCAUGCAGGAUGUUAAUCAAGCUAUAAACAGUGCUACCAAUCAAACACCACCUAGUAGUAGCUCAGCACCUAAUGGUGGAGAAUUAUUAAAUGGCAGUUUUAGUGAAGAUCAGGUCAUGAAUACAGUGACACCCAUUAAAUUGGUCAAGAAAACAGAGAAAACCAAUCCACCCUCUAGCACUACAUUAAGCACUACCAACAGUACUGUUCCCAAGUCAACAUUAAACAAUGCUAAUCAACAAAGAUCUCUACAAAAACAAAUUUCCGUAGUGGAUCCCAAUAGCUUAAUGGAAGUCGGUUCACCACCUUCAACUACGGGUAUUUCAUUGGGUACCAUUGUCACUGAAUACUUAACAAAUCAACAUGCUCUUUGCAACAAUCCCAUGACUACUUGUCCCCAAUUUGAUUUGCUAACACCUCACAAAUGUCCCGAUCCCAAACCGAAUCGUGUUUUGGGCGAUAAUCUUAAUGUAACCAAUCGUUUCUUUAGAGCACAAGCCGGCUAUAAUACUCGUAAAAUGAAUAGACGUUUUGUGCAUUCCUAUUUUGCUCCUUGGCGUACUAUACGUUCUACGGAUAGCAAUGAAAUCAACUUUUCCUCCUGUCACAUUGUACAAAAUUCCGAUCUUCUACUGGUGGGCACACAUCAGGGCGAGGCUAAAGCAUUCAAUAUUAAUCAUGCUACGGAAGAGUUUUCCUCACGCUGUCAUAGUUAUAUUAUUGAUUCAAUACAAUCGAAUCGUACUGGAGACUUGGUAUUAACUUCAGCCAGCUGGCGUUCACCUUUAAGUGUUUUGUGGUCUAUUAAGGAUUCCGAUUUUGUAUCAAAAAUACAAUUUAAUGAUGAGUUUUAUUGUGAAUUUAGUAAAUUGUCACAGGACAAAAUCAUAGGCACACAAAAUGAUUGUUGCACUAUAUAUGAUAUAGCCAAGGGUCAACUGAUAUCAACAUUUACACCCACUUUGGGUAAUCAAUAUAGUAAAAAUCGUGCUACUUUCUGUCCCACCGAUGAAUUGGUAUUAUCAGAUGGUGUUCUUUGGGAUGUGAGAUCGGGCAAAGAAAUUCAUAAAUUUGAUAAAUUAAAUCAAUCCUUAUCAGGUGUCUUCCAUCCAAAUGGUUUAGAGAUUAUUUCCAAUACCGAAGUAUGGGAUUUGCGCACGUUCCAUUUAUUACAAACUGUACCGGUGUUGGAUCAGUGUCUCUUGAAAUUCUCUCCCCUAAACACUAUAUAUGGUAUACGUUUGGAAAUGGAAUAUCGUAACGAUUUCGAUGAUACAACCAAUUACGAUACCAGCUUUAAGGUCCUAGAUGCCUACGAUUAUUCUUCGAUAUCGACCAUAGAUGUUAAACGUAGCCUAUUCGAUUUGAGUGUCAAUGGUAAUGGCAGUCUAAUAGCUUUGGUAGAGGAUCAACCCUCAUACGAGACAAAAUCCGAAACAUUUGUAAAGAUAUAUUGUGUGGGCAUGAAGAAAACCGAACAAGAUGAAGAGGUGUGUGAUAUGAAUACUGAAAAUCUUGUUAACAACAGUAGUUCUAACCAAUUGCCGAACUUGACUCGUUUGUAUGAGAAUUCGGGUACAAGUGACGGUGGUAUGGGUAGGACAACUGGUAGAGAAGGGGCUAGUAUUAGCCUUUUCGGUACGACGGCUGCCAGUGGCAAUGGCGGCGUCGGUGGUCAUGCUGCGCCGCGCCCCAGGGCUGCUGGCGGCGUUAACGAUGUUGGCGUUGGAAACGGUAACGGUGGUGUCGGCGGUGGUGGUGGUAAUGGUGCUGGUGGUGGUAAUGGUGGCGCAAAUGCUAUAGAAGCUAGGAAUGCUAAUCAAUUCGCUAUAAGAUGGCAUGGCAAUAAUGUCGAAAUAGUGCCGCCACAUUUGGUGGGUCAAAGACAGCGUCAGUCACAGAUACAACCCCAGCCUCAGCCACGUAAUCAUCAUCAUCAUCAUCAUCCUCAACAAAACCGCACCAAUAACAAUAGUAAUAACAACAAUAACAAUCGUGACGCUGACCUAAGAGCCGCCCUAGCGCCCGACCCUAUUGAGGGUGUUGGAGGCGGUGGCGGCGGUGUUAAUGCAGGCAAUGGCGGCGCGGGCGCAGCACAGGCCAAUGUUAAUAAUGAUCUCUAUGAUGAUUUGUUUGAUUUGGAUGAUAUUGCAAUAAAUAUAUUGUCUCUGCUUGUAGGAAGAUGAAGAGGAGUGUGAGUCCGACGAGGACAAUUCAGACAGUGAUGCCUCAGGCAAUGUAUUUGGUUUACGAUCUGAUGAUCAAAUGCGCAAUGGCAGAAGACGCCGCAAUCAAGAAGAUGAUGAUGAUGACGACGACGAUGAUGAU